rnacentral:tRNA from 1 species
AUCGCGGGGUGGAGCAGCUCGGUAGCUCGCUGGGCUCAUAACCCAGAGGUCGCAGGUUCAAAUCCUGUCCCCGCU